rnacentral:lncRNA from 1 species
GUUGCUUUGUUUAGGAGAUGAUAAUAGGCUUUCUUUGAUUUGUCUAGUAAAUUUUUGCCUUUUCAGAUAUUUUAUCACUAGUUAGCCCUUUUGAGCCUGUAGGCUUUUAUUGGUAGCCAUAUUUUGCCCUUAACUAUUUUGUUGAAUCCCUAGUUUUUGCACCUUACUUCCUUGAGCAUUAUAGUAUAGACUUAUUCUAAUUAUCAAUUAUGAGAAAGAGGGAUGAUUGAGUAAUCAAUGAUAGCUACAAAGUGCUUAAAAGCCCUCUUUCAAAAAAAUAAA